CUGUGGUGCAUUGUAGUUGCAUUGCACUGGGCUGCAGGAUCAUGCAAUGUGUCUGCAGUGCAGUACAG
rfam:Salmo salar isolate Sally breed double haploid chromosome ssa06, whole genome shotgun sequence.